UGGUACUUGUACCGACUGGAUGAGCAGCGAACGGGUGAGUAACGCGUGGGGAAUCUGCCUUUGAGCGGGGGACAACAUUUGGAAACGAAUGCUAAUACCGCAUAAAAACUUUAAACACAAGUUUUAAGUUUGAAAGAUGCAAUUGCAUCACUCAAAGAUGAUCCCGCGUUGUAUUAGCUAGUUGGUGAGGUAAAGGCUCACCAAGGCGAUGAUACAUAGCCGACCUGAGAGGGUGAUCGGCCACAUUGGGACUGAGACACGGCCCAAACUCCUACGGGAGGCAGCAGUAGGGAAUCUUCGGCAAUGGACGAAAGUCUGACCGAGCAACGCCGCGUGAGUGAAGAAGGUUUUCGGAUCGUAAAACUCUGUUGGUAGAGAAGAACGUUGGUGAGAGUGGAAAGCUCAUCAAGUGACGGUAACUACCCAGAAAGGGACGGCUAACUACGUGCCAGCAGCCGCGGUAAUACGUAGGUCCCGAGCGUUGUCCGGAUUUAUUGGGCGUAAAGCGAGCGCAGGUGGUUUAUUAAGUCUGGUGUAAAAGGCAGUGGCUCAACCAUUGUAUGCAUUGGAAACUGGUAGACUUGAGUGCAGGAGAGGAGAGUGGAAUAUCCAUGUGGUAGCGGUGG
rnacentral:rRNA from 1 species